rnacentral:rRNA from 1 species
GAUGAACGCUAGCGGGAGGCUUAACACAUGCAAGUCGAGGGGCAUCUCUGGUAGCAAUACUGGAGGCGACCGGCGUACGGGUGAGUAACGCGUAUGUAACCUACCCUUUACCGGGGGAUAGCUCCCGGAAACGGGAAUUAAUACCCCAUGAGGUUUCGGAGGCGCAUGCUUUCGGGAUCAAAGCUACGGCGGUAAAGGAUGGGCAUGCGUAGCAUUAGCUAGUUGGCAGGGUAACGGCCUACCAAGGCUACGAUGCUUAGGGGACCUGAGAGGGUGUACCCCCACACUGGUACUGAGACACGGACCAGACUCCUACGGGAGGCAGCAGUGAGGAAUAUUGGUCAAUGGGCGCAGCCUGAACCAGCCAUCCCGCGUGAAAGGAAGAAUGCGCUAUGCGUUGUAAACUUCUUUUCCAGGAGAAUAAAAUGACCAUACGUGUAUGGUACUGAAGGUAUCCUGGGAAUAAGCAUCGGCUAACUCCGUG